GAUGAACGCUGGCGGCGUGCCUAAUACAUGCAAGUCGAGCGAACGGACGAGAAGCUUGCUUCUCUGAUGUUAGCGGCGGACGGGUGAGUAACACGUGGAUAACCUACCUAUAAGACUGGGAUAACUUCGGGAAACCGGAGCUAAUACCGGAUAAUAUUUUGAACCGCAUGGUUCAAAAGUGAAAGACGGUCUUGCUGUCACUUAUAGAUGGAUCCGCGCUGCAUUAGCUAGUUGGUAAGGUAACGGCUUACCAAGGCAACGAUGCAUAGCCGACCUGAGAGGGUGAUCGGCCACACUGGAACUGAGACACGGUCCAGACUCCUACGGGAGGCAGCAGUAGGGAAUCUUCCGCAAUGGGCGAAAGCCCGACGGAGCAACGCCGCGUGAGUGAUGAAGGUCUUCGGAUCGUAAAACUCUGUUAUUAGGGAAGAACAUAUGUGUAAGUAACUGUGCACAUCUUGACGGUACCUAAUCAGAAAGCCACGGCUAACUACGUGCCAGCAGCCGCGGUAAUACGUAGGUGGCAAGCGUUAUCCGGAAUUAUUGGGCGUAAAGCGCGCGUAGCGGUUUUUUAAGUCUGAUGUGAAAGCCCACGGCUCAACCGUGGAGGGUCAUUGGAAACUGGAAAACUUGAGUGCAGAAGAGGAAAGUGGAAUUCCAUGUGUAGCGGUGAAAUGCGCAGAGAUAUGGAGGAACACCAGUGGCGAAGGCGACUUUCUGGUCUGUAACUGACGCUGAUGUGCGAAAGCGUGGGGAUCAAACAGGAUUAGAUACCCUGGUAGUCCACGCCGUAAACGAUGAGUGCUAAGUGUUAGGGGGUUUCCGCCCCUUAGUGCUGCAGCUAACGCAUUAAGCACUCCGCCUGGGGAGUACGACCGCAAGGUUGAAACUCAAAGGAAUUGACGGGGACCCGCACAAGCGGUGGAGCAUGUGGUUCAAUUCGAAGCAACGCGGAGAACCUUACCAAAUCUUGACAUCCUUUGACAACUCUAGAGAUAGAGCCUUCCCCUUCGGGGGACAAAGUGACAGGUGGUGCAUGGUUGUCGUCAGCUCGUGUCGUGAGAUGUUGGGUUAAGUCCCGCAACGAGCGCAACCCUUAAGCUUAGUUGCCAUCAUUAAGUUGGGCACUCUAAGUUGACUGCCGGUGACAAACCGGAGGAAGGUGGGGAUGACGUCAAAUCAUCAUGCCCCUUAUGAUUUGGGCUACACACGUGCUACAAUGGACAAUACAAAGGGCAGCGAAACCGCGAGGUCAAGCAAAUCCCAUAAAGUUGUUCUCAGUUCGGAUUGUAGUCUGCAACUCGACUACAUGAAGCUGGAAUCGCUAGUAAUCGUAGAUCAGCAUGCUACGGUGAAUACGUUCCCGGGUCU
rnacentral:rRNA from 1 species